AUAAUAGAAAUCCUCUACAUAGAGAUGAGCGGAAGUUACGUAUGUCGAUUCGGCAACGCUGUUUGUUUUGUUUACAACAGCUGCCAACACUUGCUACAAAGCAAGAUGUUCAAACUUUGUGCGUGACUUCGUUGUGGUUCAAGUUGUUUUGUUUACAUUUUCUAAUUAUGGUAGAAAUUUCUUUCAAAAUGUUGUUGAAAUAGCGGAGCAAUCGAAGAAAUCCGAAAUUUAUUGCAAAAGUGUUACCCUAAUCAUAUCGGCAGAAGUGAAGCAAGAAGUAGCAAUGGAUGUUUUUUCGACAAGUGCAGCAACAAAAGUGUCGUCAUAAGCAUGAGCUUUUGAAAGCAGAAUCAAUAUUUUUUUAUCUUUUUACUAAACUUACAUAUGCCACCAAUUUCUCGAUAUUAAAAAUAAAUAAUUUUAAUUUAUUUAGUUCCGAUUGCAAUACCGUUUAAACGACGCCUUCCUACGAACGAUAAGCAUGUUCAUUUGGCUUACACUUUGACCACAAACUCAUUUACAGACCACUUACUGCGAAGGAAUCCGAUAAAAAAUCAUGGUUCUCGGGAAUAGAAUUUUUCAUGAAGUACUAGCACAUUUCCCUUUAUUUUGAUCACGAUUUCUUCAGCGUGUUCAUCAGGGGCCCCCCUCGUCAUGUAAAUAUUAUUUCCGUCUCUUUCUUUCACAUGUGAAAAUAAGACGUCAAAAUCAGAAACACUGAUAUAAAUAACGAAAUCACUUUCAAUAUAUUUGUUAGCCAAAACACUAACAUUGACCUUAAUUGACUUAAAACGAUAAAUAUUUAACCGUAUUUUAUAGGAAUUCAUGAUGUAUAGUUGAAUUAUUAUGAAGUAGUUGUUUCAUUUUAGAAUUAUCGUCAUCAAAUCACUAUAUAUUCGGUGGCUUGAAAUUGCAUUUUAAAUCAAGCUGCUUUUUCUGCACGGUGCAUAUCCACGUCUUGGUUUGCGCGGCAAAGCGCAUCGCGUAGAAAAACAAAACAAAACACUUUUCUUUCGUCCGACAAAUUCUCGGUUUUACGAAAUUUUUUAAACUUCUCCAACCCGGUUAAAUCUAAUUUCAAGGUCGAUCAGGAAAGCGCUCCAGUUGCUGAAACAGUGCAAAGUGCCCUAGUUCCAUCCCACUGUGGCCGCCGGGUUUUAUGAAGUUCAGCUGAACUGGUCCGAGCAAUUGGUUUACCCCCUACCGCGGAUGUUGGACAUUGGGAUCGGCAAACAAUAAUCCGCGAGGUGCUCAACCUGGGUGAUCUAGGAGAUUCGGAUGUAAUUUGCGUUGGUUUACUUUGGACACAGGAAGCUCGCACCGGGAAGCGCACUUCCAACAGAAAGAUGAGGACGUAUCCGACGUGGAAGAGCUGCUGGACGAAUUGGAACCGGAGGUCUUCCGGAUCCUGACUGGGGUGAAUACGGUGAUGCACAACUGGUUGUCCAUUACAAUGCUGCGUGUGCUGCUAGACCUUCCGAAGGCCCAAAUUGAUGAGGUGCAAACACUCAGCAUAUCCAGUCUAAAGUGCGAGAUGAUAUAAUUAAGUGAACAUAUACUGAUCCGACUCCACACCAAAAUCAAUGUAAAGCAUCAUCAAAUUUCCACCCGGUAGAGUCUCCAGAUUGGGCAACUGUAACAGAACCUUCUGAAAAAAAGUAUUUGAAGGCUCUUCCCGGUGAAUCUGAACUAGCAGUUGAAAUGGCUGAACGUACUGCUGCUAACACUAACAAACACCAAUCAAACAAUCCGGGUGCCACUUGCAAGCUCACCUUCAACUAAACUGCUGCACGCUGAAUCAAAUUCUUACACCGUUCGAGAAGCUGCUUAAAAUCCGGAAGUGGUGUUCAGUGCUGGAGGAAAAGGCUCUGCGCGAAGAGCGGCGCACCGAAGGCACAACCUACAUUUCCCUGCAACUGGGUAAGAAAUUAAAUAGAUUUUAUGUCUUUCAUUUGCACACAUUUGCACUGCGGCUCCGUCAAAGUCUAUUUUUCGUUAAGGUGAAGAUAUGACGAAGCUACAGCUCAAAUUUUCAAGAGCACAAAUCUUGGAUUGAAGAAAUGUCGGAUUGCGUUGAAAAGUUGAUCGAUUUGUUACCCGCUGCUGGUGACUAAUCAAUCAACUUUUCAGCGUAAUACAACAUUCGGUUAUUCAGAUUUGUGCUCUUGAAAAUUUGAGUUGUGGCUUCGUCAUAUCUUCACCUUGAGAGAAUACUAAUUAUUAGUUGCGCUUUCAUAUGUGAAUCCAAAUACACCUAAUUACGACCAGAUUCCCCAUGUUAUUUCAAUGUAUUUGAAUGGAAUCCGCAGCAGUAUUUAACGGGAGCGUGUUGAAAGUAAUGGGUUUGUUUCCCGAUCGGUCCAGGAACUUUUCGUGGUGUAAAUUUCAUUGACUUCCUUGGGCAUGAAGUAUUUUUGUGUCUGUCACACGAUACCUAUACAAUGUAUAUGUAUAUGUAUAGUAUACAUAUGCAAAAUUAUAGUUGUCAGAAGGAAGCUCUCAAUUAAUAACUUUGCACUUCCACAGUUGUUAACUGAAAGCUUCCUCUGCCAUUCAGCAUUAUUUGCCUGCUUUCAGAAAAAGUUUAAUAUAUACUUUAUUAUGCUAUCAAAUAUUUUAGAAGUGUUACAAAUACAUUUCAUUGACCCAGGUAAUAUCAAGAAAAUUGAUAGAUACCCACUACGUUGUUAUUUCGAUUCCAAAAACCUUAUUUUAGGUCAGCUGAUUCUUAUAAUAUUUCCCAAGUACAUGACCACUUCACGCAUUUUGACUAUUUUUUUUUUUUUCAAAACAAGCGGCUUUUCUGACUAAUGUUUUGUCAUCAAUUCAUUGGAUUUAAGAUAAAGCUACAAUCAACCAAAUUGUUUAGAAAAUUUGGAAAUUUACACUGAAAAUACAAGGUGCUCAUUAUGCCCUCCUACUCCUAUCCGUGUAUGGAAAAUCAUGUCAAUUGGUUCAAAAUUGAUGAGUUAUAGCAAAAAACAACCCGUGCAAAAAAUAGAAUCGAGUGUAUAAUGUUCAUUAUACAACUCAUUUCACUUGCAUUGUGAACAUUAUGCAACCCAAAUGAGAUGUAUAAUGAAAAAAAUAAACAGCAAAAAAUGUUGUAGGUAUGUAAUUGUUGCAAAACUCGAUUUUUCAGCACUUUAGUUCCCCGCUUUAACCUUCCGUCAGUCAGUUAUGCACCAGGGUAAACCUCAUGUAACGGGUAGUACUCGCUCUUGUAACGGGUAGUACUUGCUCUUUUUAAAACAUUUCCGACUGGAAACGUCUGCGUGUUAUCAGCACAAGACUGCGUGCAACAGCUAAAGACACAUUUACCUAAUCGAAUUAUGGCCAAUUCCAUAAAUACUUGUUUUGAUUUUAAUGCGUUAAAACAAUAUUGACCACAGCAAUAAUGGGUUCACAGAAUUAUUCCUCAGCUCAACAACACUAAUUUGGGAGCUGUUUGUGGACUUAAAAUCACUAAAUUUGACUGCAUGAAGAAAAUCAGCUCCAACUAACUGUUAAACAGAUUUAGAGCAUAUGUUAAGAAAUAAUCAAAUUAUAGGUUCAAAUGAGCUGAACUACGUAGGUUAAACCUUAAUUCAAUUUAUAUUCUCUUUUCGGGCUGUUUAUCUCAGUCAAGAUAAGAAAAGUACCCCAAACGGGCAGCGGCUGGAAUAUUGCCGCCAACGCUGGUAGCCUAAACGGGCAGUGUAACUAUAAUGCCCCCUGAAAAGUUUGAAGAAUGUCAAACGGGUAGUGGCAACUUUAUUGCCACCAGUGUUUUAAGGCUAAACGGGCAGUGAUAACUUGUGAUCACACCUAGGAAUUUCAUUUCAAAAGUAUCAUUCCAAUGGCUCAAGGGCUUAGAAGAAAUUUAUACAUCCAACUGCAUAGGCAAAUGAAGGAGAGGGAUGACCACGACGCUCUUGUCUCUGGCUAGAAAAAAAAUCCACUUAUCUAAUUUUAAUUCUGUUGCAGGCACACCUGGAGUAGCUACUUCGUCAUCAUUCAUUCAACGACAGAAAUACUGUGGUCCGAGUGGGGUGGAAACAUACUAUGAAUAUGUGUAUUGCUGAGAUUGUAUUCAUAAUUUAAAAUAAAUAAUACUGUGGUGGGUGGGCUGGGGUGUUUCGCUGGACACGAUAACUUACCAUAUCCUUACUGGUUGCAAAUAGAUGCAACCACGUCUAUUGAUAACAUAGGUCACGUCUCCAUAAAUUAGUAUUCUAUAAAAUAAUUCCCAAGUUAUCAUAAUUUAUGGUUAUAAAACUUGAUCUUGUCCUCUCAUGUUGCCAGGUGACGCACAAUACAUUGAGUACACUUCAGUAGAGCAUGGUAUAUUGUUCAAAGUAAAUCAGAAUUUGUAGGUUCACUAAGUCCACCCAAGUUGCUUGGUGAAGCACAAUACGUAAAAUAAGUCAUUUCUCCUAGUAUUUCAUAAGAUAUUAAUCAGAAUUUGUAGUUAGGAAGGUUCACUAAGUGCACCCAAGUUGCUUGGUGAAGCACAAUACGUCCUUUUUUGUAGUUAGUAAGGUUCACUAAGUCCACACAAGUUGCUUGGUGAAGCACAAUACGUUCUCUUUAAAAUAAGACAUUUCUUCUAGUAUUCCAUAAGAUAUUAAUCAGAAUUUGUAGUUAGGAAGGUUCACUAAGUCCACCCAAGUUGCUUGGUGAAGCACAAUAUGUCCUUUUUGUAGUUAGUAAGGUUCACUAAGUCCACACAAGUUGCUUGGUGAAGCACAAUACAUCCUCUUUAAAAUAAGACAUUUCUUCUAGUAUUCCAUAAGAUAUUAUUCAGAAGUUGUAGUUAGGAAGGUUCACUAAGUCCACCCAAGUUGCUUGGUGAAGCACAAUAUGUCCUUUUUGUAGUUAGUAAGGUCCACUAAGUCCACACAAGUUGCUUGGUGAAGCACAAUACGUUCUCUUUAAAAUAAGCCAUUUCUCCUAGUAUUUCAUAUGAUAUUAUUCAGAAUUUGUAGUUAGGAAGGUUCACUAAGUCCACCCAAGUUGCUUGGUGAAGCACAAUAUGUAUGUCCUUUUUGUAGUUAGUAAGGUUCACUAAGUCCACACAAGUUGCUUGGUGAAGCACAAUACAUCCUCUUUAAAAUAAGCCAUUUCAUAAGAUAUUAUUCAGGAUUUGUAGUUAGGAAGGUUCACUAAGUCCACACAAGUUGCUUGGUGAAGCACAAUACGUCCUUUUUUGUAGUUAGGAAGGUUCACUAAGUCCACACAAGUUGCUUGGUGAAGCACAAUACGUCCUCUUUAAAAUAAGCCUGUGCUCAUUCUGCGAAUGGAGUGACGUGAGAAAAGUCGGAGUCGUAUAUCGAGAUGAGGAAUACCGUCUCGAAUGA